rnacentral:rRNA from 1 species
ACUCAAAGGAAUUGACGGGGGCUCACACAAGCGGUGGAGCAUGUUGCUUAAUUCGAGGCAACGCGAAGAACCUUACCUGGGUUUGACAUGGCCGGAUUAGUCCCUGGAAACAGGGAUGACGCCUUCGGGUGGAACGGUCACAGGUGCUGCAUGGCUGUCGUCAGCUCGUGCUGUGAAGUGUCGGGUUAAGUCCCUUAACGAGCGCAACCCCUAUCGUUAGUUGCUAACGGGUCAUGCCGAGUACUCUAGCGAGACUGCCGGUGUCAAACCGGAGGAAGGUGGGGAUGACGUCAAGUCCUCAUGGCCCUUACAUCCAGGGAUGCAAACGUGCUACAAUGGUGCGCACAAAGCGAUGCAAGACAGCGAUGUGGAGCAAAUCGCAAAAAACGCACCCCAGUUCGGAUUGCAGGCUGCAACUCGCCUGCAUGAAGUCGGAAUCGCUAGUAAUCGGAGAUCAGCUACGCUCCGGUGAAUAUGUUCCUGAGCCUUGUACACACCGCCCGU